rnacentral:precursor_RNA from 1 species
GUUGACAGAAGAUAGAGAGCACAGAUGAUGAUAUGCACAUACACAUAUACGGAUGGAACGCAAUUGCAUCUCACUCCUUUGUGCUCUCUAGGCUUCUGUCAUCCA